ACGUGCCAGCAGUCGCGGUAAUACGUAGAAGACAAGUGUUAUUCAUCUUUAUUAGGUUUAAAGAGUACCAAGACGGUUAAUAAAGCCCAAAAUAAAUGAAUACGGGGGACACAUUAACUAGAGUUAUAUGAAAGGAAGCUCUAAGGUACUGUUGAGUGUAGAGAUGAAAUUUAAUGAUACCAGAUGAGUGGCACAGAUUUAUGCGAAGGCAUCUUCUUAUGUAAUAACUGACGUUGUAGGACGAAGGCUUAGUGUAUGAACAGGAUUAGGUACCCCAGUAAUCUAGGCAGAAAAUGAUGAAUGUCAUAGGUUGAAUACAGACAGGUUAAUUUGACUAUCUAAUAGUAAAUAGGUGUUAUAUUAAUCAGUCUAUUAUUGUGUCUAUAAAUGAAAGUGUAAGCAUUCCACCUCAAGAGUAAUUUGGCAACAUUGGAACUGAAAUCAUUAGACCGUUUCUGAAACCAGUAGUGAAGUAUGUUGUUUAAUUAGAUGAUACACAAAAACCUUACCACAAUUUGAAUAUAUAUAAAAUAUAUUUACNAGCGCUGCACGGCUGUCUACAGUUAAUGUCGUGAGACUUUGGUUAGCUCCAUUAAAUUGACGUAAACCCUAAUUUUAUUUAU
rnacentral:rRNA from 1 species